GCAGCGGGCAGAAAGCUGCCGGGGGUCGCCCGGUGAGGGGUGGGAAGGCGCCAACAACCGCAGCUUCCCUCUCACGCUGCGUUUCACCUCAGGCUGGGCCGCCCCGCGCGGGGAACCGGGGGAGGGAGCUGCCCGUACCCGCACGCCGUGCUCACGGGAAUCCGCCCGGGCCGAGCUCAACGUGGGGGGUCCGGGGCGCCGGGAAGGUGCUGGCAGCGUUAGCGGUUCGGCAGCGGGAGGACCUUCCCCGGCGCCCGUGUCCCGGUCAGGGACGGCAUUGUGCUGUUUUGCUACAGGAUAAAAAUGGCCUCUCGGCGGAACACACGGGAGACGUUUGAUGCUGUGGUGCAGGACAAAGUUAAAAGGUAUCGCAUGGACCGGAGUGAUGCUAUAGAGGACACAAUCCAUCAUUUUAAAGCUCAUUCAAGGCCAGUCCCAAGACCAAGAUACGAAGAUAGUUUUCAGGAUGAUGGAAGAUAUACUCAUGACAACACCCAGCACCAUCCACACGAUGACUGGAGCGAAGACCCUAGAGAUGAGUAUCCAGGACCUUCAUAUAGAUCUACUAGUCCUCUCAUAAGGAAAGAUAACUAUUACCAUGAACAGUAUGGACGCCCGGCGUCUCAUGACCGGGAAUUUGGCCGUCCAGCGUCUCGUGACCGGGAGUUUGGGCGUCCAGCUUCGCACGACCGGGAGUACGGGCGUCCAGCUUCGCAUGACCGGGAGUACGGGCACCCGGCAUCUCGCGACCGGGAAUACGGGCACCCGGCUUCCCACGACCGGGAGUACGGGCGCCCAACUUCCCAUGACCGGGAGUAUGGCGGCCUGGCUUCUCAUGACCAGGACUAUGGCCCUCCUGACUCUUGGGAAUCCACCGGACCACAUGAAACUGAUUUUAGCUCCUCAGAUAUUUUAGGUGAUUUUAGAUCACCGGGGCUGAUGGAAGAUGAAUAUGGCAACAUGGAGAAUCAGGAGUAUGAUGUCGACUUUGGAAUUCAAUCUGACAGUGAGUUCCGACCCCCGAUACGGAGGGGCAACAUUGGCAGGGGAAGAGCUCUGCGAGGAAAGCGUAUUACCAGGGGUGCUGUGAAAACUAAAGUAUUCAAAGGAGAGAUCAAAACUCCCCUAAAGAAAUGGAACACUAAAAAAGUGCAGCCAGGCCCUGAUCAGAAGCCGGCUCUGCAACCUGAUCAAAUGCCAGAAGCUGCUGAACGACCUAACCAGAGGCCGGUGACACUCCAGCGCCCUAAUCAAAAGUUGCCUCCACGACUUAAUCAGAGGCCAACUAUUACAACCCAGAGACCUAUUCUCAGGCUCCCAAAGCCCGCGCAUGUUUUCAGAAAUCUCAAUUUUGACCUUGUGGACAAAUCGGACAUUUUUUCAACAUUUGGAAUAGAAAUUAUAAAAUGGGCUGGGUUUCACGCAAUAAAAAACGAUGCAGAAUUUUCCCGGCUCUUUGGAGCUCUCUUUGAGCUAGAGACAGAAACCUGUGCAAAAAUGCUUGCUUCGUUCAAAUGCUCCUUAAAGCCGGAACACAGAGAUUAUUGUUUCUUUACUAUCAAGAGUUUACAACAUGCUGCUCUGAAAACUCCCAAAGUGGACAAUGAGUUUUUAAAUAUGCUGUUGGACAAGGGUGCUGUGAAAACAAAGAAUUGCUUCUUUGAAAUAAUAAAACCUUUUGAUAAAUACAUAAUGAGGCUACAAGACCGCCUCCUAAAAGGUGUUACGCCGCUGCUUAUGGCCUGCAACGCUUAUGAAUUAAGCAUUAAGACGAGUGGGUUUGGUAAUCCAAGAGAAAUGGCGAGUGCUUUUGAGACCACUGUUUCUCUUUGUCGUAAGUCUUUAGCACUUCUAGGUCAGACCUUUGCACUAGCAUCUGUUUUCAGGCAGGAGAAAAUACUUGAAGCCGUCGGACUCCAGGAAAUGGCUCCAGCACCGACACUAUUCCCAAACUUUGAUGAUUCAACGUUGUUUGGAAGGGAGUACAUUGAAAACUUGAAGGCUUGGUUGGAGAAGAGUGGAUAUCCAAUUCAGAUGAAAAAAACUGAACCGGAGUCCACAGUACAGCUUAAAAAACCCUCUCCUGACAUAAAAGUUAAAACCCCACAGCGAGCUGAUCGGAAAGUUGUAGAGACAAUUGAACAGUUAGUGAAUAGCAUUGUUUCAGGAACCUUGUCUGCCAAAGAGAGAAACGCUCAGAAGAACUGUCCUGAAUAUUGGUUCUUGUCAGAUGAAGAUAGUCUAGAAUACAAGUAUUACAGACUGAAGUUGUCAGAGGUGCAAAGGCGGACAUCAUCUGGAAAGGAAGCAGGUGGUGAGGGCAGAACACUAGAAGAAUCUGCAACGGAAUCCGUCAGGGCCAUGUUGUAUGCCAGGAAAGUUGCAAGUAUUAAGAGAAGGUUGUUUAAAAGAAAAAGGCUUGGAAUUGUCAUACAACAUGGUAUUCGAGGAAGGAAGGUGAGGAGAGCCACCAUAGGGACGCAGACCCUGCUUUCGGCCGGGACAGUGCUGAAGCACCAAGACAAGCACCUUCAAGGUUCAGUCCAGUCAAAGCCAUCUGGAUCAGAAACCAGCCUGUCUGAGAAGAAUUCUUCCCUCGAUACCUCAUCCUCACAACGGGCCGCCAGUUCCGAGGUCUCUCUGCCAGCAGAAGAAAGGACAGAUUCUGAGGAUUUAUUAGCACCACCUGAACUUUUCCCACCAUUGUCCUCUCAGUUUCCUGAUGUGGAUGCUAAAACAAUGGAAACUGCUGAGAAGCUUGCCAAGUUUGUUGCUCAGGUAGGACCAGAAAUUGAGCAGUUCAGCAUAGACAACAGUGCAGAUAACCCAGACCUCUGGUUUCUACAAGAUCGAAACAGUUCUGCUUUCAAAUUUUACCGAAUGAAAGUCUAUGAGCUAUGUCCAUCUAUUAACUUCAGUGCUGUGUCAGAAGCAACUGAUGCCGGGGAAAGUGCUAAGCCUGAAGAGAGAAAUUUGGAUAUUUCAGAAGAGGAAGAGGAUGAAGAAGAAGAAGAGGAAGAAGAUAAUGAGGAGGAAGCUGAGUUUGAGGAGGAUGUCUCCCAGCCUUUGGAAGAAAUGGAAAUGGAGCAAGCAGAGGAGGGAGAAGAGGAUGACAUGUCAGCAGGUAGAAGUGUGGAAAACCUAGCUGAAGAGAUGAUUUCCAAAACAGGAGAGGAAAUUUCAGCAGGUGAAAUGCAGCUAGCCACAUCAUCUGACGGUGCUAUGCCAAAUCUGUCGACACAGGCAUCAACUCCUGCUCCUGGUACCCUAUUUCCUCGCAAACGGAUCAGCAGCAAGUCUCUGAAAGUUGGUAUGAUUCCUGCAUCUAAAAGGAUUUGCCUCAUAGAAGAACCAAAAGUGCAUGAACCUGUCAGAAUUGCUUAUGAUAGGCCUCGUGGUUGCCCAGUUACAAAGAAGAAGAAGAAACCAAAAGAUUUAGAAUUUUCACACAAGAAACUGACAAACAGAAAUGUGGGUUUCCAGAUGCUUCAGAAGAUGGGCUGGCAAGAAGGACAUGGCCUUGGUACACGAGGAAAAGGGAUCAGAGAGCCUGUGAAAGUACAGGAUAUGAGGGGGAAAAUUGCAGCGAACUGAAAUUUAACACUUGUGCAGCCGCCUUCUAUCGAGAGGUAAACGAGAGUGUUCAUUUGGGAAAGAUACCAGCCAGGUCUCCUGUCCCCUGCUUUUAUACUGACAGCUAGGAAAAGCUUACAGAGGCAAGUUCAAGCCCUGACUACACUCCUUUUCCUUCAAAAAUGUGUUGUAUGUAAGAACCUGGUUCUAGAAGAAAGGACAUUUGCUCUCGCUGGAGAGAAAUGAGGAGAUCCCCAUUUUGGGGGAGGUGCCCUAACAGAGUAAGACAACUACAGUCAAUAAUAACCUGUUUGGAGUAAUUGUGUGGGACUAAUAGAGAUGUUUUCAAUAUUUCGCCUUCAAAGCUUUUCUUUGGUUUAAUACAGUGACGUUUUUCCUAUUUAUUUUUUGGUUUUUUUAGACACUACAGCAUCCUUAGUGUGAACACUUAAUCUGUGCCGAGAUGUUAUUUCUCAAAAUCAAUGUACAGUAUUUUUUUCUAUCGAUACUCCAUUCUGCUUUGAGGUUAAUCCUGAUGUAUUGUGCCCAAAGAAAGUUUGCACUCAGAAAUUCAAAUACUGUUAUUUUGGAUUGUUUUCUAUCUUACAAGCAGGUGUAUUUUCUAAUUAAAAAUUAAUUCCUGAAAGUCCUGUUAUCAUCUUUAGUUCUGCAUAUCUCAUGACUGAGUGGCCAAUCACAACCAGACUGUAGAUUUGAGCAAUAAUAAACACCUUAAAUGAGAAUAUGCUCAAAAAACACUAGGGUACUUCUGAAAUAAAUAGAUUUUUUGUGAACCUUGUUAAGUAGGUAACUUGCUGAAUUGCAGCAAGUGUGGAAAAUGUUUGCAUUAUCUGUGGGCAAUAAAGUUACUGCUGUUUAAGAAAGUGCUAGCACACAGUGUGUUCUCUUCAGCUUUUUGUGCCUAAUUCACAUCAUUAGAAGGUUGUGCUAAUUCCCUUGAAAAUUAUUUCUUAGGCAAGACUUUGCUUUGAAGGGGAAGUUAUAGUUUGUUAUCCUGCCACUAGGUAAUAAUAGUAAAGCAGCAAAUACAAAGCAAUAAAAUCUAAUUUUUAAAACAGCUGCCUCUUUGUCAGAAGUUCAUGAUAGACUAUUUGAUUCACGGGGUUAACAAAAGUUCUAUCUUUGAACAGUUUACAAGACCAGAAACAUUUACAAGUUCAGAAACCGGAACUAUUGUUGGAUGGGAAAUAAGAAUUUUGAAAGACAAUCUAAAAUGAGCGAUCAUUAAGAGGUCAUACAACACAAAAAUGAAAAGAGAAUCCGGCAUCUGGAAGUAGUUAUCUGAAUGGAAAAUGUAAGAGGUUUUGACAAGUUUCAGAAAAUAUUUGAAGACUACAGAUACUUACUUUGGAGGGCUUCCACGGGACAUUUUCAAGAACCAUCAAGAAAUUCCUGCCUGUAAUUAUUUAAUGACAAGGAAUAAAAACUGGGAAGAACUUAUUUCUAGUUGAAGCUCUGAAAAUGGGUAGCACUGCUGUUCUCCUUUAUCUUGUUUUGCAAUUAAUACGAGAAACAAAAUCAUCUGCUGUGAACUGCAUUUCCAGAAAAACAGUAAAAUACCAAACUGGAAGUAUAAACACUUUUAUGAAAGAAGGAUUAUCCAACGUUUCCACUCUCAUUAUGAAUGAAGAAACCAAUACCUUAUUUGUUGGAGGCAGAGAUGCGGUAUUUGCUCUUGACUUGAGUAAUAUUUCUAGAGAAAUAGCCAGGGAAUACUGGUUUGCUACACAGUAUUGGUAGAGGAAAGGACAAGGUAGGAACAUCUGUUUCCCUAAGUUACUAACUAUAAUGAAAAGGGCUACAGUAUCAAGCUUCUUUUUAAUAAAUGAAGUAAAAUCAAGUUCAUUUAAAUCUGUGGGUUUUUAUCCCUUGUUGCUAAGGAAAUUUUCAGAUGCAAUCCACUACACUUUGUAAAUUUUAUUUUUAUUUUCAGAUAAAAUGCCAGAACUACAUUCUCUGCCUCUGUAAGAUAAAUUACUUUAACUUGUAUGUUUGUGGAACCAACACUUAUUACCCAACUUGUGAUCAUAUGGUUAUCCAUGAGGCAAACAUAAGCUUGCAAGGAAAAGCUGAAGAGAGCAAAGUGUCCAUUUGAACCAGCUCAAAAGCACACAUCUGUUUUUGUAGGUGGGGAAUUUUAUUCAGCUACUUCAAAUAAUUUCUUGGGAACAGAACCCAUAAUACUCCACAGCAUGAGAAACCCUGUAAGAACAGAGUUUAAAACAUCAUAGCUAAAUGAACCAAGCUUUGUCAACAUGGAAAUAGUGCAUGAAAGUGAAUCUAAUCCAAAUGGACAUAAUGAUAAAAUGUAUGUGUUCUUCACUGAAACAGCUGUUGAAUUUGAAUUCUAUGACAAGCUUCUGGUGUCCAGAAUUGCCCGUAUCUGCAGAGUUAGUAUCUGUAGCAUAAAGAUUUUGUUUAGUGUAUUUCAGAUGAAGUUUCCUAGUCGAGUGAUUAACAAGGGUAUCUAUGCUGGCUAACCAAACAGAAUUGUCACAGGCAUUUUAUUUCUGGACUACCUUCCUCUUUUUCCUGCUGGAACAGAAUCAGCUGUUGAGGUUGCAUUUGAGAUUUAAACCUUUUUUUCUUUGCCUUUGCACUGAGAUUUGUAUUGAAAACCCAACUAUGUUUUUCCCCAAAUCAAUGCUAUUAGGUGAAAAUUACAUCUAUUUCUUUAUGCAUUCUACAGCGUUGAUGUUAUUUCUUCAUUUAGGGUGAUCUUGGUGGAAAACGCAUAUUGCAGAGAAGAUGGAUAUCAUUUUUAAAAUCCCGCCUUUCCUUUUCCAUUCCAGAAUUAAACUUCCAUUUCGAUAUUGUCCAGGACAUCUUUUUACUAAGGAGAAGGAAAUUUUAUGGAAUUUUUUCCCAACAAUGGUGAGAUAGAGGGCUACAUAUGACUAAACUUUGUAAUGCACUGAGUAAGGAUUCUCACUUCAGUAUGAACAGUCUAAGUACAGCCUUUUGGCUUUAACUCUGAACAAGAAGCUACCAGCUACUUACGCUGCAUGUUUUAAUGGACCACGUUUGUUUUUCUUACAGCUUGAUCCAACUGAGCAAACAUUAUCAUCUGAAACAAAAUGUUUUUGGUUCCUGGGCCAGAGCCUUCAAUUAAAGACUAACCAAAAGCUUCUCUUAAGCCAAGUUUUUAGAGUUAGGUUUUCUCUAGUCGGAUAGUGGGGCAAUUAAAACUAAUUACAUAUAAAAUUACAUAAUUACAUACACAAAGCCCUGGAUUCUUCUGGUCUUUAUAGCACUAAAGGAAAUAGCUGACAUUUCAAGGUGCAGAAUUAUUCUCCUGUUCCAAAAGAAAUAUCUGUCAUGGCCUGCUCGUCCUAUGUAAUGUUCUGUGAAAAUGAAAGCAGACUCCAAACAAGUACAAGUUUUAGCAUUAACUUGCUUUUUCCUAAUGCUCUGACUAAUGAAGAAAAACAAGACAAAGUGGAUCAAAACUUUACAUGUCAAAAAAUACUGAUGACAAAGUAGCUGUGAGUAGGUAAUUCUCAUGUUUUAUAAAAGCAUCAGAAUUGUGGGAAUGCAGCACAGUCAGCACUGUGCAGCUUAACCUGCUGCCACCUAUUUACCUGUCAGUUUAUGCCCACUGGAGCUAAUGCAAGCUUUCUUUCUGGUUAUGGCAGGUUGGGUUUUGUGUGUCCUAAACCAGGAAUUUGUAGAACGUUUAUUCCUUUGGGUGUGGCAAAGAGAUUUAGUCUUGGUAUUCACUGGUAGAAUUGAAAUCACAUCAGUGUCUGAUCCAGACACUCCUAAACGUCUACUUCAGUUUUCAGUCAUCAUUUUGAAAAGCAUUGUAAUUGGAGGCAAAGAGGAAAAGUAUUGUGUUUUUCAGUAAGAUGAGUUAAAGGGAUUAGAAGAAGAAUUAAUGGUCUGUGUCAGAAGUGUGGAGCCAAAGGGAGGAGAAUCCUGUCAAAACAUUGAUUACCAUAAUACUGGGGCUCAUCUCUCUGUUCACAGGAAAGGUUGUCAAAAGGUCUCCAUUCUCGAAGUUGUUUAAGUUUAUUUGAGGGCGGUUACUUGAUUAAAAAAAAAAAACAAACAAAACCAAACCCACCAUCUUUUAUGAAUGUUUUAUUCUUUUCUUAGUGAAUCAUGAAAACUGCAACACAGAACUAUUUUUCGUGUUACGUAUCUUUUCACUAAUCCUGAAAAAGAUACAGCAGUGUGCACUGUGGAGACUGGGUUAUUUUACAGUAUUUAUUUCUAUAUAAAAGCCAAUAAAAUUGGUUUUUUUUUUUUUUUCUAAGGGGAAGAUUAGACCUAUCAGCUGUUUGUGCAUAUAGUAUGAAAAAUAUUCAGGAAGUCUUCUCCAAAGGAAGCUACAAAGGACCAGUAACUGUAGAACAUUCCCCUGUUAAUGGUAUAUAGGGGAGAAGUGCCAGUUCCACAUCCUGGUGCUGUAAAUAUGAAUUUUCUUUUUCUCAUUAAACAACAGCCUCUGGAUUAUCAUUUUUGCUAGCAAAUCAUGAGCUCAUGUUUUACCAAUAUAAAUGCAGUGUUUACAGUCAGCAAAGAGAUACCCGCUCUCUCAUUCCAUCCUACAAAGGUUCCUAGAAAAGCUACCUUGCUUACAGUUCUGCUCCACAAGCAAUGUGGGAUUAUUAUCUAGUUCAUAUAGUGUGAGGAGAAUAAUUAUUUUUAUCUUUUGGCAAUAAGUAGAAAUAACCGAAUGUUUAGAAGGAAAUACACCUUUUUGGUGAAAUGUAAAAGCACUUGUAAUCAUGUUCUUUAUGUUUUGUUUCUAGUGCACUGAUAAUCUUGCCCAGAGUGUUGGAUAUAAUGCUUCUUUUGACUUGCCUGACAAAGUUUUGCAGUUUGUUAGAGAUCACCCUCUAAUGGAUAAUUCUGUAAAUCCAGUUGGUAACAGACCAGUGCUGUUACCAACUAUACAGAGGUUCCAACUAUACAGGAUUGUAGUAGACAGAGUGACUGGCCUAGAUAAACAUACAGUGUUAUGUUUCUAGGAACAGGUAAGUGUUUUUAUUUUAGGAAAAAAUAGUAGACAUUUUAAUGUAUUUUGUUUCAGAUUUUUCUUCUGAGCCUUCAAAAAAGUGGAAGUUUCAUCAGCCCUGUUUGAAGUUUUGCAUUCAGAAGCUGUUUUGCUAGUUUAAUAUUUUCAUCCCAGUUAGAUUAAAUGUGUUUGGCUUGUUGGACAUUAAAAGACUCUCUUUAGAAACUUUCCAUAUCAAAGGAGACUUGACAUAAUAAUAUUUGCAAAUUCAGGGGUUGUUUGAGGUCUUUUUUUGUCCCCUGAAAAAAACAUUGCUUCUCUCUUAUUGAAAGAAAAAAUAAGAAUUGCUUUGAAGAAUUUAAAAAAAAUUCCCUAUGCCUGGGAAUGUCUUCUGAAUCUCUAUCUAAAUUCAACAUGAAUUAUCAGGCUAAAAUGUUAUGCUAUGUUUAAACAAGCUUAUCUUUAGAAUACAUUUCAUUUUAUGUAGAUGAUGGAUAUUUGCAUAAAGCUUUCAGUUGUGAUGGGGAAAUGUUCAUUGUGGAGGAGCUACAGCUGUUUCUGUCUCCGGAGCCUGAACAGUCUCUCCGGCUCUCUUCUGAAAAGGUAGAACUUCUGUCGCUGCAUAUGGAAAGCGACUGCUGAAAUAGCUUGCCUCGGGCCUUGCUCUUCUGUGUUGUCCUUCUGGCUUUUAUAGAACCCGUAAAUGUCUCAUAAUUCUGCUUCUAUCGUGUAUUUGUUAAUAAUGGAUGCACGAAACAUCUUUUUUUUUUUCUGUAGAAGAAUUUGUGUUUGUCGAAAUAUAACUGAAACAAGACUUCAUUAAAAAAUUAGGGGAGGAACUCUGUCAUUGCUAUGGAAAGCUGGGGGUUUUCUCAUUCAUAUCACCAUUUAUUCUUAAGAGAUUUUUAGUUUACUGAUAUUUUAAUAAAUACCAGAAAAAUCUUACAAUCCCUAUUAGAAAAUAGCAGCUUAAAAAUCUCACUGGCUGUUGUAAAAGAACUCCCUCCUGCACUCCCAGGGAAUGCUCUACAUCAGGUCCCUGUCUUGAGUGGUGCAGGUCCCAGUGUCCGUGUGCCACCGGUCCAAGGACUGCUCAGAUUGCAUCUUGGCACAGCAUCCCUGCUGCACCUGGUCCCAGCCUGCUGAGGAAUGUCUUCUGCUGGCAAAUCAAACCGCUCAGACUUCAGUAAGUGAAAAGCUCCUGUUUCAGCUGCACGCCUGAGGAAUUUAAUUCAAAGUGUGAAAUAUGGGGAUGCUUCCAGCUGCCUUAGUGUAGGGGCCAUUUAUCUCUGCCUUGGAAGAGCAGAGAAACCAGCUCAAAACCCACCAGUGCAGCUGGCUUGGGAAGUCCAGCACCAGCUAUGGAGGGGUCAGGCAGCGUGGGGAAGAGUUCAGCCACGCAGACGGACAAAGCUGGUGUUAACAAAUCUGGGCCCGUGAGCUUCUCCUAAGGAGCACAGAGAGCUCCGGCAGCCUGCAGCUCACAACGCUCUUCACUGAGAUGACAUAACGUUUCCUGUUCAGGAAUGUGGAAUGUAAAUUUGGUUUUUACAUAGCUAUGGAAGAAGAAACCUGCUUGGAAAUGGAUCCUCCUAUGUGGAAGUCUUUACCAGUUGUAGCAAGACCCCUGCUUUCCAGUUAAACAGGAAUGCUUGGAAACGAAGAUGAUGUGUACAGCCGAGAUACCUGGAUG